rnacentral:rRNA from 1 species
AGAGUUUGAUUCUGGCUCAGAACGAACGCUGGCGGCGUGGAUAAGACAUGCAAGUCGAACGAGAGAAUUGCUAGCUUGCUAAUAAUUCUCUAGUGGCGCACGGGUGAGUAACACGUGAGUAACCUGCCCCCAAGAGUGGGAUAGCCCCGGGAAACUGGGAUUAAUACCGCAUAAAAUCGCAAGAUUAAAGCAGCAAUGCGCUUGGGGAUGGGCUCGCGUCCUAUUAGUUAGUUGGUGAGGUAACGGCUCACCAAGGCGAUGACGGGUAGCCGGUCUGAGAGGAUGUCCGGCCACACUGGAACUGAGACACGGUCCAGACACCUACGGGUGGCAGCAGUCGAGAAUCAUUCACAAUGGGGGAAACCCUGAUGGUGCGACGCCGCGUGGGGGAAUGAAGGUCUUCGGAUUGUAAACCCCUGUCAUGUGGGAGCAAAUUAAAAAGAUAGUACCACAAGAGGAAGAGACGGCUAACUCUGUGCCAGCAGCCGCGGUAAUACAGAGGUCUCAAGCGUUGUUCGGAAUCACUGGGCGUAAAGCGUGCGUAGGCGGUUUCGUAAGUCGUGUGUGAAAGGCGGGGGCUCAACCCCCGGACUGCACAUGAUACUGCGAGACUAGAGUAAUGGAGGGGGAACCGGAAUUCUCGGUGUAGCAGUGAAAUGCGUAGAUAUCGAGAGGAACACUCGUGGCGAAGGCGGGUUCCUGGACAUUAACUGACGCUGAGGCACGAAGGCCAGGGGAGCGAAAGGGAUUAGAUGCCCCUGUAGUCCUGGCAGUAAACGGUGCACGCUUGGUGUGCGGGGAAUCGACCCCCUGCGUGCCGGAGCUAACGCGUUAAGCGUGCCGCCUGGGGAGUACGGUCGCAAGAUUAAAACUCAAAGAAAUUGACGGGGACCCGCACAAGCGGUGGAGUAUGUGGCUUAAUUCGAUGCAACGCGAAGAACCUUACCUGGGCUUGACAUGUAAUGAACAACAUGUGAAAGCAUGCGACUCUUCGGAGGCGUUACACAGGUGCUGCAUGGCCGUCGUCAGCUCGUGUCGUGAGAUGUUUGGUUAAGUCCAGCAACGAGCGCAACCCCUGUUGCCAGUUACCAGCACGUAAAGGUGGGGACUCUGGU